rnacentral:rRNA from 1 species
AUUGAACGCUGGCGGCGUGCCUAACACAUGCAAGUCGAGCGGUAACAGGUGUAGCAAUACAUGCUGACGAGCGGCGGACGGGUGAGUAACGCUUGGGAAUCUGCCUAUUAGUGGGGGACAACCCGGGGAAACUCGGGCUAAUACCGCAUACGCUCUACGGAGGAAAGCCGGGGACCGCAAGGCCUGGCGCUAAUAGAUGAGCCCAAGUCGGAUUAGCUAGUUGGUAGGGUAANGGCCUACCAAGGCGACGAUCCGUAACUGGUCUGAGAGGACGACCAGUCACACCGGAACUGAGACACGGUCCGGACUCCUACGGGAGGCAGCAGUGGGGAAUAUUGGACAAUGGGCGAAAGCCUGAUCCAGCGACGCCGCGUGGGCGAAGAAGGCCUGCGGGUUGUAAAGCACUUUC